rnacentral:rRNA from 1 species
UACCAUGCAGUCGAGCGGAGAUGAGGUGCUUGCACCUUAUCUUAGCGGCGGACGGGUGAGUAAUGCUUAGGAAUCUGCCUAUUAGUGGGGGACAACAUUCCGAAAGGAAUGCUAAUACCGCAUACGUCCUACGGGAGAAAGCAGGGGAUCUUCGGACCUUGCGCUAAUAGAUGAGCCUAAGUCGGAUUAGCUAGUUGGUGGGGUAAAGGCCUACCAAGGCGACGAUCUGUAGCGGGUCUGAGAGGAUGAUCCGCCACACUGGGACUGAGACACGGCCCAGACUCCUACGGGAGGCAGCAGUGGGGAAUAUUGGACAAUGGGGGGAACCCUGAUCCAGCCAUGCCGCGUGUGUGAAGAAGGCCUUAUGGUUGUAAAGCACUUUAAGCGAGGAGGAGGCUACUGAGACUAAUACUCUUGGAUAGUGGACGUUACUCGCAGAAUAAGCACCGGCUAACUCUGUGCCAGCAGCCGCGGUAAUACAGAGGGUGCGAGCGUUAAUCGGAUUUACUGGGCGUAAAGCGUGCGUAGGCGGCUUUUUAAGUCGGAUGUGAAAUCCCCGAGCUUAACUUGGGAAUUGCAUUCGAUACUGGGAAGCUAGAGUAUGGGAGAGGAUGGUAGAAUUCCAGGUGUAGCGGUGAAAUGCGUAGAGAUCUGGAGGAAUACCGAUGGCGAAGGCAGCCAUCUGGCCUAAUACUGACGCUGAGGUACGAAAGCAUGGGGAGCAAACAGGAUUAGAUACCCUGGUAGUCCAUGCCGUAAACGAUGUCUACUAGCCGUU